GAGAAAAACAGAGAUGCAGUUUCAGCUACUCAUUUUCUGGCCCAGCUCCUGUUUUUCUAAAUAAAUAAAGAGUAUGAUUUGAAAGAACAGCAGAAGAUUUUAAGAGCAAGUAAAUGGAUUUUUUUUGUUUGUUUGGAAACUGUAAAAGAACUUCCAGUUAAGAUAAUCCCUUUUAAGCGUAAAGGAGGGACUGAGAGAAACUGCUUCAGAACACAAGCUGUAAAUAAGCUCAUAUAUUUGCUUCCGAGAACAACAGGAUAUCAAAUCUGUGUGCAAUGGCUGACCCUAUUCAUGACGCUAGCUAGCUGUUGACCAACAAGAACUGUGACAUGAUGUGGAUUUUCCUGUACACCAAAAGGAUUACAAAACACAAUCAGAAGGGUAAAAAAUAUUAGGUGUUUCCCCAUCCUAUUAAUAACACAGUAUUCAACAAAAAGAAGUACCAGCUGGAACACAGAAUGCUUGUACGAGAACUAAGCAAUUAACUCACAGGACGGAACAAACUGAAGGUUCACAAGGGGAAAAAAAAUGAACAGCUUACAUUCAUAUAGAAUCUUACCAGUGAACCUCCAUGCAUUUUAAAACUAUUAAGGUUUAACAUCCCUGUUAAACUGUGUAUUUCCACAGAUUCGCACAAAGAACUGAUUAUUCCCUCAGUAUCAUACCAGAGUUUUUUGGCCUUCAUUUACUCAUUCAGGAGACCUAAUGUUAACCUUAAGACUACAGACAGUAAGUACAGAUAAAAACACUAUGAAGAUGGAGGAACAAGAAGGAAAUAUUACUAAAUUUUCUGAUAACACUGAACCCCUCCCCACCAAGUGUUUUCCAAACGGAAAAAGAAAGAUACAAUCUGUAUUUCUUUCUCCAAAGCUAGUAAUGAAAAACAAAAGCAUUCAAAGACUGAAUGUUUUUAUACUUCCAUUAUUACUGCUUUGUCAGCUUAAAGAUAGAAACGUGCUCAAGUAAGCUAACUAUAGCAGAAGGACAGAAGGUCUUUAGAAUAAGAACUAUACCUGAAUGAGUCUCAAAGAAGAGAGCCUAGCUUCUGGAUUUCAGCAAUGAAACAGUAAAGAAGUGAACAUGCAUCAGGUAUGAGAAAAAAAUAAUGGUGAUUAAAUAAAUAAAAAGAAACAGAAAACAGACAUGAACAAAAUUAAUUUAAAGCAAAAUGAGCUAUAAGUACCUAGGUAUAAAGCAUUAAACAGCCAUCUGCACUUCUAGCAAAACAAAGAUCACAGUAGUUUACACACACACACGACAAACAAGAGGAAAAGAACAGAUAACGUAGCAGUAUUGCACAAUUAGGAGAAGUAACUAGAGACUACAUGCCAAGCAUGCUAAAAAUCACUUUCUACAAGCUUAGAGAAGAGGGAGCUUUCCCUAAUCACAGCAUAGCAUGCUGAUGCAUUGGCCAGAGAAGUUCAAUUUGCUUACCUCCUGUAAAAGAUCUGCCUGCUCAAUAGCUUUGAGAACAUUUUUCUUGGAAGUCUCCUGAACUUCCCCUCCCAAAAGGAAUUCAUCCAGAAUGAAAUAGGCUUUUUCAAAAUUGAAGAUGAUAUCAAGUUCACAUACCUGGAAAGAAAAUUGAGCGUUACUGCAAACAGGGCUGAUACCAUGUACUGACCUGUCCUCUUACAGAACUUAACUUGCUCUCAGCUCAACCAAAUUAAGAUGUUAGCCUUAGGCUAUACCUUUUUGAGACACGGGGCAACACAAAUCACUCAUUUGAAACCAAACUAAAUGAAAUGUAUCUUUUUUGCUCCAGUUAAAAACAAUUAUUGCAGCCUCUUUCUUUGAAAAGUGUUUUCAUAGCUUUAAAAAAAGUUUAAUUCAUAACUUUCAGCCUUAUAUGGCUGUUUAUAAGGCAUAAGAAUAUCCCUGUAAAAGUUCUCUUCUUGCCUGCUUUAUCCGAAGUGAUUUUAUCUAACUCCAUACAGUCUUACAGAAAUUUUACAACACCUUAUUCUCCAUUUUUUAUUCAUUCUGUGUAUGUCCUAGUCAAAGGCUGCAGAAGGAUGAGCAGGAGUUCUUCUAAAAGCACUAAUAUAUACCAUUCCAAUUGAAUUUGGUAUCUAGGAAAGCAGAUGUCUGUCUUCUCUUUCCACACCCCUGCUAUUAGUUCACAAGCAACUGCCUGAUUUGGAAGCAGAUGUAAGAAGUGGUCAUGGGGGGAGAAUACACACAAAAGAGCAGUGUCAAGGAGAGGGAAAGCUGAGAGACUGGACAGAAAGCUAAGGAUUCAUAAGAUUUUAUCCAAACUCAAGUGAGACCACUGAGUACUAAGAAAUGCAACAAAUACAGGCAAUUAACGUGACAUUAACAACAGUCAUCUUCCCACAAAUUCAUUUAAUUUGCUAUUUUAACAGUUACAUAGUCAACUAUCAGUUUAGUUUUACUAAAAAACAUGAAAUUUGUUAGAUACACUUUUUCAAAAUCUAGUUGCUUGUCAUUUGUUUUAUGCCACAGCACUUUUUAAAAGUAACACAGUAUAGUACACACUAUGAAUCUGUAAAAAAUUAACCAAAAAGCAGCACUAACUCACACUGCCAAAAUACUUGUCAAGAAGUUCCACAUAGCGAUGAAUUAUUUCCAGAGUUA